CCCCUAGAUGUUCUGGGCCGCACGCGCGCUACACUGAACAGUUCAACAAGUCUUAACCUUGGCCGAUAGGUCUGGGUAAUCUUUGAACGCUGUUCGUGAUUGGGAUAGACCUUUGCAAUUAUGGGUCUUCAACGAGGAAUUCCUAGUAAACGCAAGUCAUCAACUUGCAUUGAUUACGUCCCUGCCCUUUGUACACACCGCCCGUCGCACCUACCGAUUGAAUGGUCCGGUGAAUAAUUCGGACUGCAGCACUGCUUGGUCUCCAGGCUUUGCAGCGGAAAGUUUAGUGAACCUUAUCACUUAGAGGAAGGAGAAGUCGUAACA
rnacentral:rRNA from 1 species